CUAGACUAAACAUGCUGCCCUCACUCUCAUCCCACACACUAAAAAAGGUCGUACGCACUUCCUUACUCUCUGUGUCUCCCACAACGCCGGCGACCAUACCCAGCUCCCCUGCCACGCCGGCGCUGGCCUCAACGACCCUCUCCUCCUUCCUCUUCCUCCAGGAGACCGGAGACCAGGUGGCACUCGCCGAAGGCCAGGUGACCCAGUGGGAGGCGCCAACAGAGGUGGAGGGGCAGACCUCGUCUCCACCGGAUCCGCAGCCGUGGCCACCGUCACCAGAUCCGCAACCGAGCGGGGAUGAAGGGCGCUAAAUUGGCAGCUGGAAGAGGCCAUCGGCGGCGGCAGGUAUCUCGUCCACCAUUUCCUUCCUAGCCAUAGUCGCAAAAAUUGCAGAGUGGAGCAGUAGUAGCCGCCUACCUCAUCUCACAGGUCUUUGCCAUAGUUCUAGCAAGUUAGGUGAUUUUAUUUAGAAUUCAAAAUUCCUCUAUUUCGGUAUUCAGAUUCCAUUUGAGAUGUUGAGGAGAACAGGGUUCUGAAAAAAUAAAGAGUCGCACAACAUCAUGCUAUAAGCUGUUCAUUUCUGUAUGUAACCAAUACUAUUCUAUCUGAAAGUAAUUCAUUGUGCAGUGUUUUGGCUAGUGUUCACGAACUGCAUUUGCAUCAUGCAUCCCUUCUCCUUGCAUCCCUUCUCCUUGCCCAGUAAGAACACCCGAAAUGUUACAUGUAGCUUAGGAAAUUCGAUCGCAAGUUCGAGGUUGAUGUUCUUCUGAUGGAAUUAUUGUACCGUGUGACACUCAGUUAUGCUUGUUUUACUGCCCUUGCUAGUCUCGUCAUAAUAUGUCUCAAAUAAACUUCAUGAUACUUGAUCAAUUCAUGAUUACAGACCACUCUUUUUAUCAGUGGAAUUUUUGUAGAAGUGUAGGGGGCUUGCUGCAAUGCUGUUACUCUGUUAUGGUUCUCAAUUAAGCUGCUACUCCUCUCGAGCUAAGUGUUAAUGCUAUGGUCGACCGGAGUACCAUUAACUUCGGCUUGUGGGAUAUACAGCUCUGCUUGCUUCCUUUAUUUUCAGCAUUGGUCUCACAAUUUUGUAUCCCAGGUAGCUUUGCUUUGCUGGUAACUUAGUGUUUAAAAAAAUUCGACUGCAUAGGCUACUCUGGUGUUGCUCCGCAGGUCACAGGAAGAAGUCGAACCUGAAGAAAGUGCAGCUGUGUACGUGUGGUGGGAGCCUGUCUCCGUUGACGAGACGUUCAGGCCGGGCGCGGGUGCCGGUGGGAGCCCAUCCACUCGUUCAGGGACGUGGAGUGCAGCCUCCCGUGGAGACUAUGGCGUUGCUCUUGUGUCACGGGAGCGGGCGGUACCAGGAGUGUUGCGGCGUGGGCGGAGGUGCCGACGCGAGCCUGUCCCUGCAUUCAGGGGAUGUGCAGGGCGGCCUGCCAUGGAUGCUGUGGCGGAUCUCUUGUGGGACGGCAGCGGGCGGCUGUCGGCAGCGCCAGAAAGUGCUGCGGCGGCGAGCGGGAUGCGGUGGCGGCGAGGGGAGAGUGGUAGUGGGCUGUUGUUUUGUUCAACCGUUUUUUUAUUGUGGGAGAUGUCUCGCGUGGGUGGGUGUUGUCUGGCUUGAUUCGAUCGUGGGUGUUGUCCGCUCCAUCAAACAUGGAGAGCCUGUGGGUCGUUGGAUCUUAUAAUUGUACGGUGUGGAUUGUCCGGAUCAGCCCCUCUGGGGCUUUUAUUAGUAGUAGAGAUGUUUACGUGCAUUGCACGUACAAACUUACUAGUGUCUAUAAUAAUUAGACUGAUUAUUUCUUCC